rnacentral:rRNA from 1 species
AUUGAACGCCGGCGGCAUGCCUUACACAUGCAAGUCGAACGGUAACAGGUCUUCGGAUGCUGACGAGUGGCGAACGGGUGAGUAAUACAUCGGAACGUGCCCGAUCGUGGGGGAUAACGGAGCGAAAGCUUUGCUAAUACCGCAUACGAUCUACGGAUGAAAGCAGGGGACCGCAAGGCCUUGCGCGGACGGAGCGGCCGAUGGCAGAUUAGGUAGUUGGUGGGAUAAAAGCUUACCAAGCCGACGAUCUGUAGCUGGUCUGAGAGGACGACCAGCCACACUGGGACUGAGACACGGCCCAGACUCCUACGGGAGGCAGCAGUGGGGAAUUUUGGACAAUGGGCGAAAGCCUGAUCCAGCCAUGCCGCGUGCAGGAUGAAGGCCUUCGGGUUGUAAACUGCUUUCGUACGGAACGAAAAGACUCUUUCUAAUAAAGAGGGUCCAUGACGGUACCGUAAGAAUAAGCACCGGCUAACUACGUG